CUUGCCACAAACCUCAUGGUGGCCCCAAGGUUCCGGGACCCGGAUGAGCGUUCAAGGGGGAUUUUCCUGGCAGCCUGUAGCAGGGCAGCUUUCCGCUGAUGGUCCGGGAAGCGCACUAGGGCAUCAGUUUCCACCUGAGUACAUGGCUGCCUGAAACACAGGACACACUUUCCCGGAGCUAGCUGGCUUACUACAUUCUGGAUAAUAGAAUAAGGAAAACGUGGCAUUUCUGGGAAAAUUCUGUAAACUUAUAGUAUCAGCAGAAUUCAUUAAAAGAAAGAAGCUUCAAGAUUAACAAACCUCCCUCUGUGGCUAUAGAAAGAUUGAUGUUGUGAAAUGAGUGGAUUUCCAAAUCAAGAAUCUUCACCUACCGUCCUAUCUGCCAAACCUUUUGAACCCUUGAUGCCCUGGAAAGAACAGAAACAAGGUUCAAAAUGCAAUAGUCUAAUUCCCAGCACUUUCUUCUCCACGACCAACUGGAGACUCUGAGUGUUCAGCACGGCGCAUACACUGCCCUUCUCUCCUGGCCCUGGAGUUCUGCCCAGCCCAGUAGGGAGGACAGAGUGCCUGAGCAGUACAUCCCAGACCUCAGAGUCCAGGUAGAUGGGACACAGACUCUUAGAAGACCAGGUAGUUUUGAGACCAAUCCAUAGUUCAAGUUCAAAAACUGGUCAUUCAAGAUCCUACCACAAGCUAUUCCAAAGCACAUCCUGGUAUCUCCCCUAUUCCUGCUCUUCAGGCCUCUCAUCUCUACCCUGAAUCUGCCCUCAUAGUAAAGGAACCCUCCCUGAAGCCUUCCAACUCCAGCUGUCUGGCUCCAGCCCCUCUGCGAGUCUAGAAAGUCUUUGUUUAGACUCUACAAGGCAGUAACUUGUAGCCUUAGACAAGUCACUGUACUGAAACCGACUCAAUCUGCAUUGCACCAUCAAAUGGCCAUGAACUACCUCUGAGAUGUUUGGUUUUCUGACUUAAUUGUUCUCCAGUAAAAAUCCUGAGCUCCGGUGAGCCCAGCAUGUCCUUCUCCCACCCCUGACUGAUGAAUACACUAUCCCUCACAGAAUGACAGCCCUGUGCACUGGUUACUUUCCAUCAACUUGAUACAAACCUAGACAUACCUUGGAAGAAUUAAUCUCAACUGAAGAAUUGUCUCAGCCUGGCCUACGGACAUGCCUAUGAGGCAUUUUCUUGAUUGCCAGCUGAUAUAAAAGGUCCCAGCUAACUGUGGGUAGUACCACCCCUAAAUAGAUGGACCACUAUCCCAGGUAGGGGACAAACCUGUAAGCAGCUGUCCUCUGUAGUCUGCUUCAGUCCCAGCCAUCAAGCUCCUUCCUGCCUUGAGUCCUUGCUUUGACUUACCUCAAUGAUAGACUGUAACCUGUAAGCUGAAUAAACUCAUUCCUCCUCA